UAGGGAAUCUUCGGCAAUGGACGAAAGUCUGACCGAGCAACGCCGCGUGAGUGAAGAAGGUUUUCGGAUCGUAAAACUCUGUUGUUAGAGAAGAACAAGGACGUUAGUAACUGAACGUCCCCUGAUGGUAUCUAACCAGAAAGCCACGGCUAACUACGUGCCAGCAGCCGCGGUAAUACGUAGGUGGCAAGCGUUGUCCGGAUUUAUUGGGCGUAAAGCGAGCGCAGGCGGUUUCUUAAGUCUGAUGUGAAAGCCCCCGGCUCAACCGGGGAAGGUCAUUGGAAACUGGGAGACUUGAGUGCAGAAGAGGAGAGUGGAAUUCCAUGUGUAGCGGUGAAAUGCGUAGAUAUAUGGAGGAACACCAGUGGCGAAGGCGGCUCUCUGGUCUGUAACUGACGCUGAGGCUCGAAAGCGUGGGGAGCAAACAGG
rnacentral:rRNA from 1 species